rnacentral:tRNA from 1 species
CGCGGGGUGGAGCAGCACGGUAGCUCGUCGGGCUCAUAACCCCGAAGGUCGCAGGUUCAAAUCCUNGUCCCCGCAACCA